UGGGGAAUAUUGCGCAAUGGGCGAAAGCCUGACGCAGCAACACCGCGUGAGGGAUGACGGCCUUCGGGUUGUAAACCGCUUUCAGGAGGGAAGAAAAUGACGGUACCUCCAGAAGAAGGUGCGGCCAACUACGUGCCAGCAGCCGCGUGACACGUAGGCACCAAGCGUUAUCCGGAUUUAUUGGGCGUAAAGAGCUCGUAGGCGGUUCGGUAAGUCGGGUGUGAAAUCCAAGGCUCAACCUUGGGACGCACCUGAUACUGCUGUGACUAGAGUGCAGUAGGGGAGCAGGGAAUUCCUGGUGUAGCGGUGGAAUGCGCAGAUAUCAGGAGGAACACCGGUGGCGAAGGCGGGUCUCUGGGCCGGAACUGACGCUGAGGAGCG
rnacentral:rRNA from 1 species